GACAGCCAGGAUGUUGGCUUGGAAGCAGCCAUUCAUUCAAAGAGUGCGUAACAGCUCACUGGUCGAGGGUCCGUGCAUGGAUAAUAAUCGGGUAUAAGACAGGCACCGAAGGCGCGGGAUAGCAAAUUAUAAAAGUAUCGGUAGGGGAGCAUUCCAUCGGCGUAGAAUGCAGUGGGUGACUACUGCUGGAGCCUAUGGAAAAGCAAAUGUAGGUAUAAGUAACGAUUAGGAGGGCGAGAACCCCUCCCGCCGAACGACUAAGGUUUCCCAGGCAAUGCCAUUCAUCCUGGGGUCAGUCGGG
rnacentral:rRNA from 2 species